rnacentral:tRNA from 1 species
UCCCUGAUGGUCCAGCAGUUAGGAGUCUGCACUUUCAAUGCCGAGUGUGCAGGUUCAAUACCUGGUCAGAGAA